UGAAUCUCUCUGUUUGCCAGGCGAUCCCAGUCGAUGCGUCGGAAGAAGGCCUGCUCCCUGAUGUCCCUCUCGCCCUCUAAGCCACAGCCGAGACGCUUUGACGGGUGCUUGGUCAUCAGCUGGUAUUAAACAGAAGAGGAGGCAUUAGAAGAUGGACACAGCUUCUUUAGACAUGGACUUGGGGUAGGACACAUUGUGUUCCAUGAUGGACUGGAAGAGCUCGUCUUCAUCCUCGCCAUCAAAUGGAGGCUGAGAAGAAAGACAAACACAGUGUCACAGCUUGAGGGUUAUUCUUUGAAACCUGACAAGAUACUGAAGUGACAAGAGCAGCAUGUUAAGCCCCCCCUCCCGAAAAAUGUCUGCUCUGAUUGGUCAGCUUUUCAGGGUCAUUUUCAUAUGCGCUCUGCAAGUCUCUGCACGUCAUUGCAGCCGGGGAAUUCAAUUCAAUUCAGU